rnacentral:tRNA from 1 species
AAGAAAGUGGCAGAGCGGCUUUGCGCUUGGCUUGAAACCAGGUUACGGGGGUUCAACUCCCUCCUUUCUCG